AUGGCCAAGAUCUAUUUGCUAGUGGCAGGAGUGAUGCUCUGCUCCAUCCCUGCUUGUCCUCUGGACAACAAAAAAAUCUUCAUACAUUUGAGACAGAUGAAAACGAUCCCCUCUCAGUCAUGCCUAGACCACAGACAUGACUUCAAGUUUCCUUGGAGAAGAGAGAAUAUCACCCCAAUCCAGAUGACUCAAGGCACCUGUUAUCACCAAUUGAUGCUCCAGCAGACCUUCAACCUCUUCACCACGGAGAGCAGCCGUGCUGCUUGGAACAGUGCCCUCCUCGACAAACUACUCCAGCCUGGGUCAGAGCCUGGAACAGCUGGAAGAAGUGACUCUGGGUUGUCCCGAUUUGGGAAUUGCUGUCCGGAAGUAUUUCCAAGGAAUCCAUCUCUACCUGAAGGAAAAGGAAUACGGCCCCUGUGCCUGGGAGGUUGUCAGAGUGGAAACUGAAAAGUGCCUUUCCCUCAUGUAA
rnacentral:lncRNA from 1 species